GACGAACGCUGGCGGCGUGCUUAACACAUGCAAGUCGAACGGAAAGGCCCUGCUUGCAGGGUACUCGAGUGGCGAACGGGUGAGUAACACGUGGGUGAUCUGCCCUGCACUUCGGGAUAAGCCUGGGAAACUGGGUCUAAUACCGGAUAGGAGCCAUUCUUAGUGUGAUGGUUGGAAAGUUUUUUCGGUGUAGGAUGAGCUCGCGGCCUAUCAGCUUGUUGGUGGGGUAAUGGCCUACCAAGGCGGCGACGGGUAGCCGGCCUGAGAGGGUGGACGGCCACAUUGGGACUGAGAUACGGCCCAGACUCCUACGGGAGGCAGCAGUGGGGAAUAUUGCACAAUGGGCGCGAGCCUGAUGCAGCGACGCCGCGUGGGGGAUGACGGCCUUCGGGUUGUAAACUCCUUUCGCUAGGGACGAAGCUUUUUGUGACGGUACCUAGAGAAGAAGCACCGGCUAACUACGUG
rnacentral:rRNA from 1 species